GAAAUAUUGAGCAAUAUUAUUUUACAGUAGCUCAAAUGUGGUCAAAUGUGCCACUUGGAGGUACACAUAUGGACUUUUGUUUUUAAAUUUCUCCAAAUUGCUGCAGUAAAAGUGCUUGAUAUUGAGUAUAUGUUUAGUGUUAGAUGUGUAGAAGUCAGAUAUACCAUCCAUAGCCAUGAAAUAUUGAGCAAUAUUAUUUUACAGUAGUUCAAAUAGGGUGAAAUGUGCCACUUGGAGGUACAAAUAUGGACAUUUAUUCUUAGGUUUCUCCAAAUUGGUACAGUAAAAAUGCUUGAUAUUGAGUGUGUGUGUAGUCUUAGAUGUGUAGAAGUCAAG